CCUCACGUCCCCAGCCCAGGCCCAGAGGGGGUCACUGGUCACCCACCUGCGGCUCCUGGCGCUCAGGUGGCAGACACUGUGCCCCUCGCUCAGCUCAGUUUCAUGUUUCUGGAAAGGUGGGAAAGGCCGUGGCUCAGCCUCCCCUAGGGCUCCUCUACGUCCCUGCGUCUCCUCACGUGUGGCCCCUCACUCAGGAGCACAAGUCGGCGUGGGACCUCAGAUGCCCAGGCCUCGUCCCAGACACUGGUGCUGUCCUGCUCAGUGGGAUAUUCAAGUCCUCAUUGGCUCAAUAAUUGGAUCUUUGUGCAACAAGCACCUGGACCGAGGCCGAAGUCCCCUCGUGGUUUCAAUGACAGGAGCACC